rnacentral:rRNA from 1 species
GACGAACGCUGGCGGCGUGCCUAAUACAUGCAAGUAGAACGCUGAAGGAGGAGCUUGCUUCUCUGGAUGAGUUGCGAACGGGUGAGUAACGCGUAGGUAACCUGCCCGGUAGCGGGGGAUAACUAUUGGAAACGAUAGCUAAUACCGCAUAAGAGUAGAUGUCGCAUGACAUUUGCUUAAAAGGUGCAAUUGCAUCACUACCAGAUGGACCUGCGUUGUAUUAGCUAGUUGGUGAGGUAACGGCUCACCAAGGCAACGAUACAUAGCCGACCUGAGAGGGUGAUCGGCCACACUGGGACUGAGACACGGCCCAGACUCCUACGGGAGGCAGCAGUAGGGAAUCUUCGGCAAUGGACGGAAGUCUGACCGAGCAACGCCGCGUGAGUGAAGAAGGUUUUCGGAUCGUAAAGCUCUGUUGUAAGAGAAGAACGAGUGUGAGAGUGGAAAGUUCACACUGUGACGGUAUCUUACCAGAAAGGGACGGCUAACUACGUG